GGAAAACAGCCAGCGUUUGUUUUAUUUGGUAUGUUGCUACUCGCGAAACGCUAUAUCAUAAGACACACGCGGCUAUUUUCC
rnacentral:pre_miRNA from 1 species